rnacentral:rRNA from 1 species
UACGGAGGGUGCGAGCGUUUGUCCGGAAUCAUUGGGCGUAAAGGGCGCGUAGGUGGCGGGACAAGCGUGCGGUGAAAGCUUGGGGCUCAACCCCGAGUCGGCCGUGCGAACUGUCUUGCUUGAGCACUGUAGAGGCAGGCGGAAUUCCGGGUGUAGCGGUGGAAUGCGUAGAGAUCCGGAAGAACACCGGUGGCGAAGGCGGCCUGCUGGGCAGUAGCUGACACUGAGGCGCGACAGCGUGGGGAGCAAACAGG